rnacentral:lncRNA from 1 species
GCCUUUGCAAUACUCAUCCAUGGGCUGUAAAAGCAGACUCUACCCCCUCUCUACAUAUGCUUCUCUUUCUUCAGCUGCGCUAUAAUGAAUUAUUGUCCUUGUGUUUCUUUGCUUGCUUUUUUCUUCUCACCCUUAGCCCUAGUUAGCUAGGUUUAAUAGACGUGGCCUCUCUCUCUGGUGUUAGUUCUGCUGAUACUCUUUCUCUCAUCUAAUCUGAAAAAGAAGAAAGAGAAUAAGAAAGAAAUAGGAAGGGUUGCCAUCAAGCAACUACCAGCACCC